rnacentral:tRNA from 1 species
UCCCUGGUAGCUCAGACGGUGAAGUGUCUGCCUGCAGUGCAGGAGACCCAGGUUCGAUCCCUGGGUUGGGAA